rnacentral:rRNA from 1 species
GCGAGGAAUGCGUUUCUAACGUGCCCCAAGGUCGAGGAUAGCUCGGGGAAACCCGGGGUAAUACUCGAUGACCCCCAUGGAUCGCAUGGUUCGUGGGGCAAAGGCUUGCUGCCUUGGGAUCGGGAAACGCCCUAUCAGGUUGUUGGUGAGGUAACGGCUCACCAAGCCUAAGACGGGUAGCGGGUGUGAGAGCAUGACCCGCCGCAUCGGGACUGAGACACUGCCCGGACUCCUACGGGAGGCUGCAGCAACGGAUAUUGGGCAAUGAGCGAAAGCUUGACCCAGCAAUGCCGCGUGCAGGAGGAAGCCCCUCGGGGUGUAAACUGCUGUCAGGGUUUAGGAAGUUCUGACCAAACCCAAAGGAAGGGCCGGCUAACUUCGUGCCAGCAGCCGCGGUAAUACGAAGGGCCCAAGCGUUAAUCGGAAUCACUGGGCUUAAAGGGUGCGCAGGCGGAAUGGUCAGUGUCUUGUGAAAUCCCACGGCUCAACCGUGGAACUGCAGGGCAUACUGCCAUUCUUGAGGCCGGUAGAGGCCGCCGGAACUCUAGGUGUAGCGGUGAAAUGCGUAGAUAUCUAGAGGAACGCCAAAGACGAAGGUAGGCGGCUGGGCCGGUUCUGACGCUCAGGCACGAAAGCGUGGGGAGCAAACGGGAUUAGAUACCCUGGUAGUCCACGCCGUAAACGUUGUGCACUAGGUGCUGGAGGUUCUGACACCAUCAGCGCCGAAGCGAAAGUGAUUAGUGCACCGCCUGGGGAGUACGGUCGCAAGGCUAAAACUCAAAGGAAUUGACGGGGGCUCACACAAGCGGUGGAGCAUGUGGCUUAAUUUGAGGCAACGCGAAGAACCUUAUCCUGGGCUUGACAUGCAUGGAUUAACGCUGGGAAACCAGCGCCACACUCUUUGAGUGGAACAUGCACAGGUGCUGCAUGGCUGUCGUCAGCUCGUGCUGUGAAGUGUUGGGUUAAGUCCCUUAACGAGCGAAACCCCUGUCGGUAGUUACCAUCAGGUAAUGGUGUGGACUCUAGCGAGACUACCGGUGUCAAACCGGAGGAAG